CCUACGGGUGGCUGCAGUGGGGGAUAUUGCACAAUGGGGGGAACCCUGAUGCAGCGACGCAGCGUGGGUGAAGAAGCGCCUCGGCGCGUAAAGCCCUGUCAGCAGGGAAGAAAAUGACGGUACCUGUAGAAAAAUGCACGGCUAACUACGUGCAAGCAGCCGCGGUAAUACGGAGGGGGCAAGCGUUAUCCGGAUUUACUGGGUGUAAAGGGGGCGCAGGCGGCGAUGCAAGCCAGGGGUGAAAGCCCGGGGCGCAACCCCGGGACUGCACGUGGAACUGGGUGGCUGGAGUGCAGGAGGGGCAGGCGGAAUUCCUGGUGUAGCGGUGAAAUGCGUAGAUAUCACGAAGAACACCGAUGGCGAAGGCAGCCUACUGGACUGCAACUGACGUUGAGGCCCGAAAGCGUGGGGAGCAAACAGGAUUAGAUACCCGUGUAGUC
rnacentral:rRNA from 1 species